rnacentral:rRNA from 1 species
CCUACGGGUGACUGCAGUGGGGGAUAUUGCACAAUGGGGGAAACCCUGAUGCAGCGACGCCGCGUGGGUGAAGAAGCGCCUCGGCGCGUAAAGCCCUGUCAGCAGGGAAGAAAAUGACGUUACCUGAUGAAGAAUCACCGGCUAACUACUUGCCAGCAGCCGCGGUAAUACGUAGGGGGCAAGCGUUAUCCGGUUGUACUGGGUGUAACGGGGGCGCAGACGGCGAUGCAAGCCAGGAGGGAAAGCCCGGGGCCCAACCCCGGGACUGCUCUUGGAAAUGCGUGGCUAGAGUGCAGGAGGGGUAAGCGGAAGUCCUGGUGUAGCGGUGAAAUGCGUAGAGAUCAGGAGGAACACCGGUGGCGAAGGCGGCCAGCUGGACUGCAACUGACGUUGAGGCGCGAAAGCGUGGGGAGCAAACAGGAGUAGAUACCCUUGUAGUC